AGUCACUGACAUUAGAUACCCGGUAGUCCCAGCCGUAAACUAUGCGCGUUAGGUGUACUGGUGACCACGAGUCGACCGGGGUGCCGAAGGGAAACCGUGAAACGUGCCGCCUGGGAAGUACGGUCGCAAGGCUGAAACUUAAAGGAAUUGGCGGGGGAGCACCGCAACGGGAGGAGCGUGCGGUUUAAUUGGAUUCAACACCGUAAACUCACCAGGGAAGACUGUUACAUGAAAGCCGAGAUGAAGACUCUGCUAGAUUUUCAG
rnacentral:rRNA from 1 species